rnacentral:rRNA from 1 species
AUUGAACGCUGGCGGCAGGCCUAACACAUGCAAGUCGAGCGGAUGAGGGAAGCUUGCUUCCCGAUUUAGCGGCGGACGGGUGAGUAAUGCCUAGGAAUCUGCCUAUUAGUGGGGGAUAACGUUCCGAAAGGAACGCUAAUACCGCAUACGUCCUACGGGAGAAAGUGGGGGAUCUUCGGACCUCACGCUAAUAGAUGAGCCUAGGUCGGAUUAGCUAGUUGGUGAGGUAACGGCUCACCAAGGCGACGAUCCGUAGCUGGUCUGAGAGGAUGAUCAGCCACACUGGAAAUGAGACACGGUCCAGACUCCUACGGGAGGCAGCAGUGGGGAAUAUUGGACAAUGGGCGAAAGCCUGAUCCAGCCAUGCCGCGUGUGUGAAGAAGGUCUUCGGAUUGUAAAGCACUUUAAGUUGGGAGGAAGAGUUGUAAGCUAAUAUCUUGCAGCUUUGACGUUACCAACAGAAUAAGCACCGGCUAGCUCUGUGCCAGCAGCCGCAGUAACAC